CACGUAGGGGGCGAGCGUUGUCCGGAUUUAUUGGGCGUAAAGAGCUCGUAGGUGGCUUAGUAAGUCGGGUGUGAAACCUCCAGGCUCAACCUGGAGACGCCACCCGAUACUGCUAUAGCUUGAGUCCGGUAGGGGAGCGUGGAAUUCCUGGUGUAGCGGUGAAAUGCGCAGAUAUCAGGAGGAACACCAGCGGCGAAGGCGGCGCUCUGGGCCGGUACUGACACUGAGGAGCGAAAGCGUGGGUAGCAAACAGG
rnacentral:rRNA from 1 species